CAUGCAAGUCGAGCGAAUCAUUGGGAGCUUGCUCCCUUUGAUUAGCGGCGGACGGGUGAGUAACACGUGGGUAACCCGCCUGUAAGAUUGGGAUAACUCCGGGAAACCGGAGCUAAUACCGGAUAACAUUUUGAACCGCAUGGUUCAAAAUUGAAAGGUGGCUUUUGCUACCACUUACAGAUGGACCCGCGGCGCAUUAGCUAGUUGGUGAGGUAAUGGCUCACCAAGGCAACGAUGCGUAGCCGACCUGAGAGGGUGAUCGGCCACACUGGGACUGAGACACGGCCCAGACUCCUACGGGAGGCAGCAGUAGGGAAUCUUCCGCAAUGGACGAAAGUCUGACGGAGCAACGCCGCGUGAACGAUGAAGGCCUUCGGGUCGUAAAGUUCUGUUGUUAGGGAAGAACAAGUACCAGAGUAACUGCUGGUACCUUGACGGUACCUAACCAGAAAGCCACGGCUAACUACGUGCCAGCAGCCGCGGUAAUACGUAGGUGGCAAGCGUUGUCCGGAAUUAUUGGGCGUAAAGCGCGCGCAGGUGGUUUCUUAAGUCUGAUGUGAAAGCCCACGGCUCAACCGUGGAGGGUCAUUGGAAACUGGGGAACUUGAGUGCAGAAGAGGAAAGUGGAAUUCCACGUGUAGCGGUGAAAUGCGUAGAGAUGUGGAGGAACACCAGUGGCGAAGCGACUUUCUGGUCUGUAACUGACACUGA
rnacentral:rRNA from 1 species